rnacentral:hammerhead_ribozyme from 1 species
ACACUUCUGUGGAGUCCCAAAAUAGGACGAAACGGCCGUCCAGUGA